GGAUCAGACUGCCGCGCUCCGUUGCGCCGAAAGGUAUCGGAGUGAGGAAAGUCCGGGCUUCAUAGGACAAGGAUAACGGAUAACGUCCGCCGGAGGCGACUCCCGGGAAAGUGCAACAGAAAAGAACCGCCGCCGCUAUGGCGGUAAGGAUGAAAAGGCGAGGUAAGAGCUCACCGGCACCGCAGGCGACUGCGUGCAAGUGUAAACCCUAUCCGAAGCAACACCGUAUGCGGGGAGGAGCGUUUGCUCCGUGUCUGUCCGGCAUUCCCCCGCGGGUGGCACAGAGCCGCGCGGCAACGCGCGGACAAGAUUGAUGGCAGUCGAAUACAGAACCCGGCUUACGGUCCG
rnacentral:RNase_P_RNA from 1 species